AGAGUUUGAUCCUGGCUCAGGACGAACGCUGGCGGCGUGCCUAAUACAUGCAAGUCGAGCGGACAGAUGGGAGCUUGCUCCCUGAUGUUAGCGGCGGACGGGUGAGUAACACGUGGGUAACCUGCCUGUAAGACUGGGAUAACUCCGGGAAACCGGGGCUAAUACCGGAUGGUUGUUUGAACCGCAUGGUUCAAACAUAAAAGGUGGCUUCGGCUACCACUUACAGAUGGACCCGCGGCGCAUUAGCUAGUUGGUGAGGUAACGGCUCACCAAGGCGACGAUGCGUAGCCGACCUGAGAGGGUGAUCGGCCACACUGGGACUGAGACACGGCCCAGACUCCUACGGGAGGCAGCAGUAGGGAAUCUUCCGCAAUGGACGAAAGUCUGACGGAGCAACGCCGCGUGAGUGAUGAAGGUUUUCGGAUCGUAAAGCUCUGUUGUUAGGGAAGAACAAGUACCGUUCGAAUAGGGCGGUACCUUGACGGUACCUAACCAGAAAGCCACGGCUAACUACGUGCCAGCAGCCGCGGUAAUACGUAGGUGGCAAGCGUUGUCCGGAAUUAUUGGGCGUAAAGGGCUCGCAGGCGGUUUCUUAAGUCUGAUGUGAAAGCCCCCGGCUCAACCGGGGAGGGUCAUUGGAAACUGGGGAACUUGAGUGCAGAAGAGGAGAGUGGAAUUCCACGUGUAGCGGUGAAAUGCGUAGAGAUGUGGAGGAACACCAGUGGCGAAGGCGACUCUCUGGUCUGUAACUGACGCUGAGGAGCGAAAGCGUGGGGAGCGAACAGGAUUAGAUACCCUGGUAGUCCACGCCGUAAACGAUGAGUGCUAAGUGUUAGGGGGUUUCCGCCCCUUAGUGCUGCAGCUAACGCAUUAAGCACUCCGCCUGGGGAGUACGGUCGCAAGACUGAAACUCAAAGGAAUUGACGGGGGCCCGCACAAGCGGUGGAGCAUGUGGUUUAAUUCGAAGCAACGCGAAGAACCUUACCAGGUCUUGACAUCCUCUGACAAUCCUAGAGAUAGGACGUCCCCUUCGGGGGCAGAGUGACAGGUGGUGCAUGGUUGUCGUCAGCUCGUGUCGUGAGAUGUUGGGUUAAGUCCCGCAACGAGCGCAACCCUUGAUCUUAGUUGCCAGCAUUCAGUUGGGCACUCUAAGGUGACUGCCGGUGACAAACCGGAGGAAGGUGGGGAUGACGUCAAAUCAUCAUGCCCCUUAUGACCUGGGCUACACACGUGCUACAAUGGACAGAACAAAGGG
rnacentral:rRNA from 1 species